ACAUGGCUUAAACAUCGCGCGAGUUGUUAGUGUCCGAGAAUGCGCGCAUUCUAUACGAUUGUUGUGUUAAUGAUCCUCUUUGAGAACCUUGCUAGUAGCUGGUGCUUCUCUAUCAAACCCUUAAUGGGAUUGCAAGAUGACACCAAUUCAAAAUCACAAAUUUUAAAUUUUCACGAGAAUGACAGUACUACGACACCGCAAGUUACUAUGGAGAGCAGAAUAAUAUUUAUUCCACGAAGAAAUAGAGUUUUCUGUCAACCGGGCGAACAAGUCGAUCGGCGUGGGAAGUGCAGAAUGGUGUGGUGAAUUAACAAUCUGACAAAUAAAAAGCAAAUAAGUCACAAUCUUUAUUGAGAGAUUAAACACCAAUGUUAUUCAUGAAAGAAGAUAUUUCCGAAAAGAAAAUAGAGAUGAGGAUCAUAUAUAUUUUAAAGGUUAACAACAAUGGAAAAAUCUACAUGGAAGAUCUACAUUAGAAAUAUCUAAUUAAUUAACAACGCACAAAGUGCUACAAAUUGAAUCAUCAAUUAUAAAUUUUCCCACGAAAUAAUCAAGAUAUGGAGAUGGUGUUAAUUAAAUUAUUUUACUGCUAUAUAUACUUAUUGUCAAUUAUUAUAGGAGUAGAAUUUUUAUAUCAAGCAUGAUUAAAACCAAUAUGAAAAUUAUGGAGUAUUAAAAAAUUAUAUUUAAUAUUAAAGAAUAAAUAA